rnacentral:rRNA from 1 species
AGAGCGAACGCUGGCGGCAGGCCUAACACAUGCAAGUCGAACGGACUCUUCGGAGUUAGUGGCGGACGGGUGAGUAACACGUGGGAACGUGCCUUUAGGUUCGGAAUAGCUCCUGGAAACGGGUGGUAAUACCGAAUGUGCCCUUCGGGGGAAAGAUUUAUCGCCUUUAGAGCGGCCCGCGUCUGAUUAGCUUGUUGGUGAGGUAAUGGCUCACCAAGGCUACGAUCAGUAGCUGGUCUGAGAGGAUGACCAGCCACAUUGGGACUGAGACACGGCCCAAACUCCUACGGGAGCAGCAGUGGGGAAUCUUGCGCAAUGGGCGAAAGCCUGACGCAGCCAUGCCGCGUGUAUGAUGAAGGUCUUAGGAUUGACAAAAUCUUUCGACCGGUGAAGAUAAUGACUGUAGCCGGAAGAAGAACGCCCCGGACUAACUUCGUCGCCAGCACGGCCGAC